AGGAAAUUAAGGAUUUAACGGCAUUUAAUUAACGGCGUUUUAGUAAACGUCACCUUUUCUAAUAAUUAACGACGUUUUUUAAACGUCGCAUUUGUUAUAAAUUAAAACGGUACCGUUUUGUGAAUGGAAGACGUUUAAAAAGCGCCUCCAAAUCCGGUUUCUCUUUCCACCCUCUUUUGUCUCUCCAAACCUUUAUUUUGAAAACCCUAUUUUGAGCACUGCCGUCAAGAUGAUCGAAUCCUGUCUCACUCACUCUCUUGCUCUCUCUCUCUCAGAGAAUCGAAUCUGUUUCUCCAAAUCUCUUUCUCUCAGAGGAUCGAUUCUUCUCAAUCUCUUACUCAGUGAUUCAUCUUCGAAUCUUCUUCAGUUCGGUGAUUCAUCUCGGGAUUGUGAUUUCGAAGUUUGAUUUUGAGCACAGCUCCGUGAUUUAUAUCUUCGAUCAGAGGUCGGUGAUUCAUCUCAGGAUUGUGAUUUCGAAGUUCGAUUUUGAGCACAGCUCCAUGAUUCAUCUCCGCAGAUUUGGAACUCUUCGUCUUCUUCGAUCAGAGGCAUUCAAUUGUAACAAUGAAGGCUGCCAAGGGUAAGGGGGCAGCAAUCAAGGUCCCAAAGGAGGCGUUGAAGCCAGUUGACGACAGAAAGGUCGGGAAGAGAAAGGCUGCCACUAAGGCAAAUAACGGUGGCAAAAGUCAAGCCAAGAAUUGAACUCCUUUUAUAACUAUAGGUCAAACAAUAAUAAUUUCCAUAACUAUCAUCGGCGAUUUAUUUAUCAGAUAUACCAUCUUGAUGGAAACUUUUAGCUUCAGAGUUUUUUCUUCACAUAGUUUUAGUGUUUUAUUUUAUUUUAUUUAUUUUACCUUAACUUUGUAACACACAUGCUGUUACAACUAUUCGGAAAACAUUGG